UUCAAAAGUUGGUUUGUGGCCCACCAUGAAAAUGAAGAAGAAGAACAAUAAGUUGGUGGGUUUGGCGGUUAGCUGUGACUACGACCAGACCAUAGACCGUAUAUAUGGACCAGACGAGUAGGAAACCCAAGCAAACAUGUUUGGCAUUGCUGCUAGGCUAACUCUAAUGAAGUCUUUACAUUGCAUCGAGAUGAGACUGGACGGUGCUACCUGUUGAUCAGAAAUGGGAACACAAGCCUUCCAUCUGGAAGUGGAAGGAUGCUGUGCUGUGGAGUUUCUCAAGCUUCUUUCUUCCUCCCUCAAGCAGGACCUUUGGCUCACAGUCCCAGAGGGCAGCUCCUUCAUUGUUCCAGACUGAACAUGGGAGAGUUGAAGGAUGUGGUUAAGCAGGAUGUUUGAGCCAUUGUGAAGGUGAUACCCAACAUGGAUCCUGCCAGCAGAGCUUUCCCCUUCAUGAUCGGUGGAACAACUCCAACCUGAGAGCUGGCAGAUGGACCAGAAUGGAAGUGAUGUUCAACAUCAGCUGUGUUACAGCUACAUGUCACUCACAGCAUGGGCGCUGGUGUCCACUGUGUACCUUGGAAGCACAGCUGUUUUGUGGGUUUAUUGCUGGUGAGCAACACAGAGGGAAGUCCAGUUUUGUGACAUUAAUCACCAAAAGAAUUUAGGCUUUAGUGUAAUCGCCACAAAAACCUGUUCCAGACACACUGUAAAUAUGGAAGAGCCCGAUCACAUGUAUUUCUAAUAGUCCUUGUCAUUGCAUCUGGCUGUUCACUAAGCCAUUUAAAGUCAGAGCAUUUGCGUACAUCACAGGAAGGACUUGUACCGACGCUGUUUGCAGAGGUGACUGGAAUGGGUUGACAGUGCCUGUGGAUUCCUCCGGAAGGAUUUCAGUUUUUGUGAUUGCUUUGCAUCAUCAGAGGCCACAGCUCAUCUUAAAUAUCUGCAUAUUCUCUGUGAGGUUCUGUCAGCCAGCAGUGAGUUUCAGGCUCUGUUCUGUUUGCAUUUGGUCAAAGGUUGGGACUAAGCAAUAUGACAUGAAUUUGUAUCUUGAUAGUCAAAACCCUAUAUCCCUGCAAACAAGAUGGUCUUUUGCAGAAAUGUAACUAAACGUCACCUUGUGUUGGCAAAUUGUGGAACCUGCGAUCAGACUUUACUGUCUGUUUUAGAAACCUCACUGCCUCUAUUGCUGCCACAAACGUUUUGAAUACUGAGGGUAAAAAAAA